UGCGAGAGUGUGAGUGUUCUUGCGCCGGCCCAUGAGCCAAGCAACGGUGAAUUGUACCCAGCAUGCGCAGUAGCUAAAAAGAAUAGAAACGUAGAAUGUAGAAAUUCCUCUACAUGUAGACACACAGCAACACGUUUAUAUGGAUGUGUGUGAGGGAAGUUACUAACUUUUGUGGGCAAUGUAUCAGUAUUAGGCUCUUGACGAUGGCGGUGGGGUGCUUGGGGCAAUCGUGUUUCUAAGUGCGGCGCUACAGAAUUAUAAAAAUAUCUGAGAGCAAUGAGGAGAGCGAACGCGUACAAAAAUACUCUCGCACACACACAAACACCGAUAGCCGCAUAGGCGGCGAGAGAAAAUGUAUCUACCACAGUCGGACAAAAGUGUGUUGAGUUCAAAAACACACCUAACCGCGUGUCCCCAUCCAAGUUUAUAUAUAUGUACGUAUAUAUGCUGUACAUAUAUGUGUAUAUAGAAGUCGGCUAUGCCCGCCGCCUACAAUUUAACCGAGCUGAUGAAAAACGAAUCUCACCGCAUCACAUACAUACAUACACCAAUACCCUGGCAACUCGGGCACUCUUUUUUCGCACAUAUUCACAGGUUCUACGUUUUGCGUAGGAUUUUUUUUGAUCGAUCCCUUAUGGAAUGAUGCGUAAAAAGCAUAUACGUGCACACAUUCGCACCAAUAGUUCAUGUAUUUUUUCGGCCCAACUAAAUAUUACUUACAUUCUCGAUUAACUUGAAACGACGACGAACACUACCAACGACCGAAUGAAAGCGACGGCACUGUAUCUGUGCUGCUAUGAUGUGAUUCUGUCAUAGUGUGCGGAGAGGCACACAUACACAGGCGGCGCAUGCCCGCCACAAGUGAGCGUAUUGCAGCGUUGCCAGCCUGACGGUGGCAGUAAUGCUGCCAGGUGUGCUCUGCUUUGCGUCAGCCGAUGUUAAUAUUUAAACUUUAAGCAUACCAGCCCAGCUUAAAUGGGUGUGUAUGGGCAUGGAACACAAUAAAAUAAAUAUAUAAAUCAAAAAGUUGAUGCCAUGACGCAUUAACAUCGUCCAUCACUGGCGGCGUCAAUUGUGCGCAAUUUAACUGGCAAUUUUGUAUUCUAUGGAUGUUGAAGAGUUUUCGAGAACGAUAGUUUCCAGUUUCCCCACUACCUGUUGAAAUUUUCAGACGAGGCGGUUAUCUGCUCGCAGAUUACGUUUUUAUCUUAACUUUAUGGCCCUGAAGGAGGAACCUAAUCGGCAGAUGUAUACCAUUGAUAAGAAGCAGCAAAUUGCCUUAAUUCUAAUGUGGCAACCAUUGAAUUCUCGCUCUGCACAGAGCAUAUGGACUGGCGAGGCGAGAUAUCACCUCCACUUAUGUUUUAAAGAGUAACUGAAUUAAAGUUUUUGUUGCUGGCAA